GGCUCCUCUUAUCUUCUCAUCAGAUCUUUGUUUCUUCUUUUUUUUUUUUGCUUUUUGGUUAUGUUUUUUCUCGAUUUAGACAAAAACCCUAGACUUGAUUUUCCAAAAGAUCUCUGGAGAUGGAAGAACUGCGAGUGAAUGAGUUGGGACAAAAGAAAAACAUAGCAACUGACAGAAGAGAGUGAGCACACAAAGGUAAUUUGCAUAUACUGCAUUUACUUCUCUUGCGUGCUCACUGCUCUUUCUGUCAGAUUCUAGUGCUGAUCUCUUUGGCCUGUCCUUGUUCUCUUUGUCUCAAUCUCUCUCUCUCUCUCUCUCUCACAUACACAAUCUCUCUACUUCUCUUGUUCAUCUCAAAUAAAGGUAAGCUUAAUAUGCGAUUUAAACGAUGGCUUGUUCCUUGUAUAGAUUUUGGUUCGAUCUGAUUGCAUGCGAGGUGAGAGCUUUAAACUUUCACCAUUCAUUAUACUUUAAUGUAUGGGUAGUAUCGAGAAAGCUUAAUCUAUGAGUUUACGCGUGGUUAAAUGAAAUUAAGCAUGUCAACCUAGUUUUUAAUAGGCUGGUCCUUAAUUUUCUCGAUUCAUGUAUAUAUUAUACUAUCAUUUAUUAGUCCCUUUUCUCGGGGCUUUUUAAUCCCUAGCUCCUACUUUUUAUACUCAGAUACAUAGUAUAUCAUUUGAUUCAUGUGAUCAUCAUAUCAUCUCAUUUUGCGUGUAUAAGAUGUUGCAAGAGUACUCUGGUCAUGAUAUUUGCAUUACAAGAAAGAGUCGCUGGCUUCUUGGUUAUCUAAAUGGUUUGCUCGUACAUUUUGAUUCCACGAAGUAUAAUUAUAUAAUUAUUUUUUAUAGUCUAUACAUUUACCAAAAGAAUAAUUAUGUUGGCAUAUAAUUAGUUGACAUUUUGUAAAUUAAUAUUUGAUUCCAUGUAAUAAUGUUACAUUUGUUGACAUGAAUAUUUUGAGAAUAUUCUUGUGGUGGUUUGUUUUCUUAGAUUAAUUUGAGAACACACUAUUUCUAUGCAAACUAAAAAAGCCUAUAGUGUAUGAAGUUGUUGUGUUGGUUCCACAGUGAUGUGUCAUGUCUUUCCGCUUUUGUACUGUUGAGGCUGUUGAAAAAUACUGUUGUUUGUCGACAAAUAUCAAUACCAGUAAUUAAUUUUCGGUCCUACUGUUACAAUUUCUAUCUUUCGGUUGACUGAUGAGUCGUUGGGCUGAAACCAUGGUGAUACUGGUACCGGUGAGAAUUGUGUGGUCAGAUGUGUGUAUCACAUCGGAAGCGAUCUUUGUAUAUAUUGCAAUCGUUGUGAUGUUUGUGUCUCAAAUGCACAAUAUGUUCUAGCUUUAAUUAGCUAAGUCAGUACUCAAUACUAAUAUUGUUGAAGCAAAUUAAUGGAAAAUAUGAACCAUAUUGUGUAUCGAUUUCUGA